rnacentral:rRNA from 1 species
GACGAACGCUGGUGGCGUGCCUAACACAUGCAAGUCGAGCGAAGUGAGUACUACGGUACGAACUUAGCGGCGGACGGGUGAGUAACGCGUGGACAAUCUACCCUGUAGACUGGGAUAACACCUCGAAAGGGGUGCUAAUACCGGAUAAUGUCGAGAAGCGGCAUCGCUUUUCGAAGAAAGGAGAGAAUCCGCUAUAGGAGGAGUCCGCGUCCCAUUAGCUAGUUGGUGAGGGUAACGGCCCACCAAGGCGACGAUGGGUAGCCGGCCUGAGAGGGUGAACGGCCACACUGGAACUGAGACACGGUCCAGACUCCUACGGGAGGCAGCAGUGGGGAAUAUUGUGCAAUGGGGGAAACCCUGACACAGCAACGCCGCGUGAGCGAAGAAGGCCUUCGGGUUAUAAAGCUCAAUAGUAUGGGAAGAUAAUGACGGUACCAUACGAAAGCCCCGGCUAACUACGUGCCAGCCGCCGCUGUAAAAC